rnacentral:rRNA from 1 species
GUGCUAAGGUAGCAUAAUCAUUUGCUACUUAAUUGGUAGCUGGGAUGAAAGGUUAAACUAGUUUACUCAGUUUGUUGUGUUUUGUAAGAAAUUAAAGUCGAGGUAAGAAUUCUUUGAUCUGCUAGGGGACGAUAAGACCCUAGAAGCUUAACAAUAAGAGUAUUUAUUAGUUAUAAAAAUUAAUUUGUUUUACUGGGGCGGUAAAGGUAUAUAAACUAUUAGUGUAUUGAUAGAUCCUUAAAAUAAAGAUAAAACGGGAAAGUUACUCUAGGGGUAACAGUGCAAUAUUUUUGGAGAGAUCAUAUCGAUAAAAAUGUUUGCAACCUCGAUGUUGAAUUAAGAUGUCUACGUGAAGCAGCAGGUACGUGAGAAGGUUUGUUCAACCUUUAACUUUUUACGUGAUCUGAGUUCAAACCG